rfam:Picea glauca, whole genome shotgun sequence.
ACAUGCCUACAACAUAGCAUUAAUGCACUGGAUCCCAUUAGAACUCCACAGUUAAGCGUGCUCAUGCUAGAGUAGUAUUGGGAUGGGUGACUGUUUGGGAAGUUCUAGUGUUUUACAUGCC